rnacentral:rRNA from 1 species
AGCGAACGCUGGCGGCAGGCUUAACACAUGCAAGUCGAGCGGGCGUAGCAAUACGUCAGCGGCAGACGGGUGAGUAACGCGUGGGAACGUACCUUUUGGUUCGGAACAACCCAGGGAAACUUGGGCUAAUACCGGAUAAGCCCUUACGGGGAAAGAUUUAUCGCCGAAAGAUCGGCCCGCGUCUGAUUAGCUAGUUGGUGUGGUAACGGCGCACCAAGGCGACGAUCAGUAGCUGGUCGAGAGGAUGAUCAGCCACAUUGGGACUGAGACACGGCCCAAACUCCUACGGGAGGCAGCAGUGGGGAAUAUUGCGCAAUGGGCGAAAGCCUGACGCAGCGACGCCGCGUGAGGGAUGACGGCCUGGUUGUAA